UCAUCUUGGCAGGGUGCAAUGUGGUGUUCGGGAGGGUCCAUUCGCGCCUUGAGCUCUGGUGUCCAAGUCCCCCUGACCGGGGCCAUCGCCCAUUGAGGGUGCAAGGCCUGUUGGGCAGGGCUGUGUCUCCGAUCUCGGCGCGUUGGGUCCCUUCCUUGGAGUCGGGUUGCUUGAGAGUGCAGCCCAAAGUGGGUGGUAAACUCCACCUAAGGCUAAAUACUUUCCACGAGACCGAUAGCAAACAAGUACCGUGAGGGAAAGUUGCAAAGAACUUUGAAGAGAGAGUUCAAGAGUGCGUGAAACCGUUCGGAGGUAAACGGGUGGGAGCGCGAAGGUCGAACGGACGGGGAGGGACAUUUUGAACCCUUAGAAGGCGAAAUAAAAGUGAAGGCUGGGUCGUCCCGCUCUCCCUCCCCUCGGGGUGCGGAUGAGCGCGGGCGGCCCGCCCGAGUGGGAUCCCCCGUCUGAUGGCGGGGGCGCACCACCGGCCCGUCCUACGACCGCUUCGCCG
rnacentral:rRNA from 1 species